GUUUUGACCUGUGUUUCCUGCUAUCUUGUGCAUCCAGAAAAAGAGGUACAGAGAAUACGGAUGGAGGUAUAAGUCCCAAGUCCAGAUUUUUUCCAAAUGGGAAGGGCCAAGUCCGGAAAUUAUGGCCAGUGCCGUAGCAACUAUGGUUUUGCCUGCCUUGCUUCGUAGAAAUAGCAGGGCUUGAUGGAAACUGCAUAGUGAGACCAUAAAAAUUGACCUUGGGCCUGUUAGGUGAUUAUACAUUGAUUUUACACUUGGUGCCCAAACCUAUCACAUCUUGGCCUGCCCGCUUGCAGCUUAUACAAUAAGGCAUUUCUGAGUACAGGGGGUUGGCCCGGGCAACGGUGCCGGGGAAAGAAAACCAAAGGGUUUUGUGCUGCCUCCCAAUCAGCGUGCCAGCGCUCUUGAGCAGCUGUGAGAGAGGCCAAGUUCAGACGGCAGGCAAGCCGUGGGGCUUGGAAUUCCCCUAGAGGUUCCGUGGAGAUCCCCCCUGAGAGAGACGCUUGCCCAACCCCUAGGCCUGGAAGGAGCAGGAAGAGCUUGUGUUAAUGAGAGAGGAGGGUCCAGAGCAGCCGGGUUGGAACUGGGGUGGGUGACCCCGGUGCCUGCCUUGUUGGGGAUGGACCUGGGGAUAAGAAAAGCCACUACUUCAGAGGUCCGCUGAGAGGAGCAUUUCAUGGCACUCUCUCUCCAGACAUAAGGUAAACUCCGGAGGCCUCGGGGAACCUCAAAGGUGAAGGACUUAGAAGGGUGGCUUCCCGGGACCAUUCCCAGCUGCUGUGGUCACUCUCCGGCCGGGACAGUGUUGCCUGGGCCAGAGUGGUAGAGGAGUCUGGAGGCCGAGGGGGGUCUGCUCACAGGCCCCUCCCUCAGGCCCUGAGGAAGGCUGGCUGUUCGUGGCUAUCUGCUCCCUUGCUGCAGGGCCGGCCACACACCCUGCAGAUGCUCCACGGACAUGUCACCCUGACCUACCAAGGCCCGGAGUGGGCAUGAAGGCUGGGGGGCUUCUAUGGUUUUGCCUGCCUUGCUGUGUGAAUCGAGAUGCUUGGGCAAGAGGCCGGCAUACUGUCAGUCUGCUUGCCCAGAUAGCCUUCGUGCCAGUCCACUCGUUCCUUCAUUUAUCUAAGCAGAGCUCUGGAGACUGGCUCUGUGUCAGGUUGGACGCCAGGCCCUGGGUGUGCACAGAGGGAGAGUACUUCACAGAGUCGUCAUGAGGAACAAAUGGAACAUUCUGCGUAAAGUACCUGGCACAUAAUCAACACAGUAAAUACUAGCACCAUUGUUAGUAUUUACUGAGCCUGCUUCAGCAUAACAGAUGUGCAGACUGACCAACCAAUCAAUACCGCUGCUACUCUUGGCUCCUGUUUUCUCUUCACACUGAUAAUUCCCACCAAGACUCACCGUUUUCUUUCACAGGCAUUUGUAUUUCUUCUACCUCUGUCCCCAGAUGUCAUCCCACCUUCUAGUCUUUACCCGAGGCGCUACAACAAAUUUAGAA
rnacentral:lncRNA from 1 species